GAUCCUGGCUCAGGACGAACGCUGGCGGCGUGCUUAACACAUGCAAGUCGAGCGAUGAAGCUUCUUCGGAAGUGGAUUAGCGGCGGACGGGUGAGUAACACGUGGGUAACCUGCCUCAUAGAGGGGAAUAGCCUUCCGAAAGGAAGAUUAAUACCGCAUAAGAUUGUAAUAUCGCAUGAUAUAGCAAUUAAAGGAGUAAUCCGCUAUGAGAUGGACCCGCGUCGCAUUAGCUAGUUGGUGAAGUAACGGCUCACCAAGGCGACGAUGCGUAGCCGACCUGAGAGGGUGAUCGGCCACAUUGGGACUGAGACACGGCCCAGACUCCUACGGGAGGCAGCAGUGGGGAAUAUUGCACAAUGGGGGAAACCCUGAUGCCAGCAACGCCGCGUGAGUGAUGACGGUCUUCGGAUUGUAAAGCUCUGUCUUUAGGGACGAUAAUGACGGUACCUAAGGAGGAAGCCACGGCUAACUACGUGCCAGCCGCAGC
rnacentral:rRNA from 1 species